rnacentral:rRNA from 1 species
AACGAACGCUGGCGGCAGGCCUAACACAUGCAAGUCGAGCGCGCCCUUCGGGGUGAGCGGCGGACGGGUGAGUAACGCGUGGGAACGUGCCCUUUGCUACGGAAUAGUCUCGGGAAACUGGGGGUAAUACCGUAUGAGCCCUUCGGGGGAAAGAUUUAUCGGCAAAGGAUCGGCCCGCGUUGGAUUAGGUAGUUGGUGGGGUAAUGGCUCACCAAGCCGACGAUCCAUAGCUGGUUUGAGAGGAUGAUCAGCCACACUGGGACUGAGACACGGCCCAGACUCCUACGGGAGGCAGCAGUGGGGAAUCUUAGACAAUGGGCGCAAGCCUGAUCUAGCCAUGCCGCGUGAGCGAUGAAGGCCUUAGGGUUGUAAAAGCUCUUUCGUGGGGGAAGAUAAUGACUGUACCCCAAGAAGAAGCCCCGGCCAACUCCGUGCCAGCAGCCGCGGUAAU